GGCCCCAUCGUCUAGCCAGGUCAGGACACCGCCCUUUCAAGGCGGCAGCACGGGUUCGAAUCCCGUUGGGGCCA
rnacentral:tRNA from 1 species